rfam:Arthrobotrys oligospora ATCC 24927 unplaced genomic scaffold scaffold00081, whole genome shotgun sequence.
GGCCUUGUGGCCUAAUGGCAAGGCGUCAGUUUUCGGUAUCCAAUUACGGUUGGAUGUCAUCCACUGAAGAUUGCGAGUUCGAUCCUCGUCGAGGUCA